CAAAAGGUAGUUUAAUAAAAAUAAUAGUUUUGGGGACUAUUGAUAAAAGGUUAAGUCUUUUCUUUUUGA
rnacentral:tRNA from 1 species